rnacentral:tRNA from 1 species
GCCUCUGUGGCGGAACCGGUAGACGCGGCAGACUCAAAAUCUGCUGUUGGCAACAACGUGCCCGUUCGAGUCGGGCCAGAGGCA